rnacentral:rRNA from 1 species
ACCGUGGCGACGAUGCGUAGGGGUUCUGAGAGGAAGGUCCCCCACACUGGUACUGAGACACGGACCAGACUCCUACGGGAGGCAGCAGUGAGGAAUAUUGGUCAAUGGGAGAGAUCCUGAACCAGCCAAGCCGCGUGAGGGAAGACGGCCCUAUGGGUUGUAAACCUCUUUUGUCGGAGAACAAAACCCGGGACGUGUCCCGGACUGCGUGUAUCCGAAGAAAAAGCAUCGGCUAACUCCGUGCCAGCAGCCGCGGUAAUACGGAGGAUGCGAGCGUUAUCCGGAUUUAUUGGGUUUAAAGGGUGCGUAGGCGGUCCGUUAAGUCAGCGGUAAAAUUGCGGGGCUCAACCCCGUCGAGCCGUUGAAACUGGCAGACUUGAGUUGGCGAGAAGUACGCGGAAUGCGCGGUGUAGCGGUGAAAUGCAUAGAUAUCGCGCAGAACUCCGAUUGCGAAGGCAGCGUACCGGCGCCAGACUGACGCUGAGGCACGAAAGCGUGGGGAUCGAACAGGAUUAGAUACCCUGGUAGUCCACGCAGUAAACGAUGAAUGCUGGUUGUCCGGGUCGAAUGAGACC